ACCUACCUUUUCGGUUUUGUUUGGGCUUGACUCUGGCAUCGGGAGACAAACAUACAUAUUCUCCUUAUCACACACCAAUUGUGCCUUUGAUCCUUCUCAGCAGGGGUGCCCAGGUGACAGCCAAGAUGCACAUCGCAUUGCCCAGACAGGCUCCAGGAUGCACAUCGCCCAGCCAGAGACGCACACAGAGCGAUUUCUCAUGCCACUCACCCUGUUAAUGGCCAGGCAGUGAUUUUCUCUCCUCUCUUUUCCUCUCCUCUGUUUGUUUGGCUCUGACAGACACUGUGCAUCCCAGAUGGCACCCUAUUCCCUAUACUCUAUAGAAGUGCACUACUUCUGACCAGAGCCUCAUGGGGGGGGGUAGUAAUGCACUAUAAAGGGAAUAGGGUGCCAUUUGGGAGUAAACAAUAUCUUUAUCACCUCUUUGAUUCCUGCUCGCUGAAAAUGUCAAAGCCGCCAGAUAUUUUUUUCCCUCUUACUUUUUAGAAAGCUGACACCAAUGUUCUGCUUAAAAUUACCUGAAGUUUUCUCCCCCGCAAAUGUCGGGAUAUUGAUGCUAUACCGUAGAAGUGAUUCAGUUUUCCAUCAGGAAAUUGUAUCAUAAUGUCAUGUAAUUCAAAAAGCCACGGUCGUUGUAGUGUUUUGUUCACUGAUGUGACGCAAGUGUGUUGGUACACGCACACACAAACUACUGAUGUUUUACUGAAGAGUUUCUAUUGAACAAAUAUGUUAUGUAGGUUACUUUGUUCUUAGUCCCCCUGCCUUUGCAAGGUCAGGACGAUGAUAAUGACGAUGAUGAUGGUGAUUGAUGAGGCUGAUGAUGGUAACGAUUGAUUUUGACCGUCGGACAGAGAUUUCGUCAUCCCAUGAGAACUUGUCAUCUGGGCCGUUACGGUGCAUUCGUAAAGUAUUCAGUCCCCUUUAAUUUUUCCACAUUAUGUUACCUUACAACCUUAUUGUUUUAUACACACAAUACCCCAUAAUGUCAAAGCAAAAACUGUUUUUAGAAAUGUUUGCAAAUAUAUUUAAAAUAAUAAACAGAAAUAUUUACAAUA